rnacentral:tRNA from 1 species
GUGGGUGUAAUUUAAACAAAAUAUAAGGUUGUGAUCCUUACAAUAGAGGUUAAAACCCUCUUACCCACA